rnacentral:lncRNA from 12 species
CACACCCGUACAUCCACACUGCUUCCUCCAGGAUCGGAGCCACCUGGAUUUUUCUCCUGAGCUCCUGCCAUGGCCUCUGUAGCCACUGCCCAUUUCCCUUCCUGCCUCUGGCUCAGAUUCUGUUUAUGACUAAGCCAUUCAUCAAAAAGCCAAAAAGCACCAGCCACCCAGACACGUGGCUUCUCCCCCACCUCCACCUGCCUGUCCCCCAGCACUGACCCCAGAGCAGAGGACACCUGGCUACCUCCCCCCAGAGUCCUGCACCGCACCUGUUUCAGAUGAGGAACUUCUCAGCAGACUCAUCACCCUCAUCCACACCAGAGAGAGAACCACCUCCUCCCCGCCCUGCCUGUUGUCCAGACGUGAAAUAAGAGUGACACUCAAAGAUCCCUGAGACAGGGAUAUGUGGACAACAGAUGUGCAUUUGGAGAUGAAAGAGACUGAGAAAUCAUUGCUGGCAGAGCUGUUCCUGGAAGGGAGAUGAAGGCGAGAAGGCACAUCUGGGUUACAGGAAGAGGCGGCCCCUCAUUCAACAUCUUUAGCCUAGGAGGGCCCAGGGCUCCGCACUGAAGGCAUUAAUUGGAUUUCAUUAAAGUGAAAUAGAUUUCCUAGCCCGGGAAGAGCUGGUCCAUUAAUUUCACACAUGCUCUACUGGAAGAAGCCAUGAGGAGGGACGGGCAGCCCCAGCCUACCGAGGCUGAGAUCGGAGCUGGGAACAUGGCAGUUUGGUGCAGUGCUUGGGCUCUGAGCACCUGUUCUGUGCCAGUGCUGAGGCUGGACAUUGGGUGAGCAAUGAUGAAGCAGAUGCAAGCACUGCCCCCAGUAACUCCAUCUCAGAGGAGGCAGCCGCAGGAGGCAGGGCAUACACAGUGACAGGGCUCUGGACAGGGAAAGCAACAUAGAAUGUCUGACUUAUGCUUCUGGGGGUCCUGGCAGCUGGGUGGUGUUCUUCCUUGAAUAGAUGGCUUUGGUCCUCCAUCAGUGUAAUGUAGCCACUUUCUCCUGCCAGUCAUGACCCAGGAGGUCAAGAGUGGAGCUGGCAUGGCUGCCAUAAGAUUCAAGGGACCGUAGCUUGCAUGAAGGUUAUAUGCCUGAAGUGCUGAUUAAAUAACCCAAAAGGAGAAAAGAAUGGGGGGGUGGAGAUGAUGGGGGUGCUGACAUUCAUCUAAUUGUUUAAAAAUACUUACUGAACACUGUGUGCUGGAUGUAUUCCGCAUACUGGACAUUCAGUGGAGAAGACUGACGUGGUGCUAGAGCUAAGGAGAGUGGUCUGGGCUGGAAUUUUAAAUGGGGGAAAUUUGAACUAUAAAAGGUGGUUAAUGCCCAGGUCUGGAAGAGGUC